rnacentral:rRNA from 1 species
GACGAACGCUGGCGGCGUGCUUAACACAUGCAAGUCGAACGAAGAGCGAUGGAAGCUUGCUUCUAUCAAUCUUAGUGGCGAACGUGUGAGUAACGCGUAAUCAACCUGCCCUUCAGAGGGGGACAACAGUUGGAAACGACUGCUAAUACCGCAUACGAUCUAAUCUCGGCAUCGAGGAUAGAUGAAAGGUGGCCUCUACAUGUAAGCUAUCACUGAAGGAGGGGAUUGCGUCUGAUUAGCUAGUUGGAGGGGUAACGGCCCACCAAGGCGAUGAUCAGUAGCCGGUCUGAGAGGAUGAACGGCCACAUUGGGACUGAGACACGGCCCAGACUCCUACGGGAGGCAGCAGUGGGGAAUCUUCCGCAAUGGACGAAAGUCUGACGGAGCAACGCCGCGUGAGUGAUGACGGCCUUCGGGUUGUAAAGCUCUGUUAAUCGGGACGAAAGGCCUUCUUGCGAAUAGUGAGAAGGAUUGACGGUACCGGAAUAGAAAGCCACGGCUAACUACGUG